GGAAAGAAUCAAGAAGGUACAGGUGAGAAAACUUGUGGUUUGAGAUGAGGGCAGUUUAAUAGGUAAAGAAAAGCUGCAUGUUCAACCAAAGACUAGCAAGGAAUUCAUCUGCUACUUUCCAUUGGCAAGUAGAUGUUCAGCCAUUUCCAGGACAACAGGGCCAACCAUGUGUAACGAUUUCUUGGGAAGACAGAUGUCUUCACUAUGGAAAUUCUUCUGUAUUUCCUCUAGUUUUCAUUGCUUUUAUUGCUAUGGAAUAUCCUUUCAUUCAGAUUGGGUCAGUUGUCUUUUUCUCAGUUGUCUUUUUCUCAUACUCGUCAGCAAAUUUGCUGAGGGUGCACUCAAUUCCAUCAUUGAUAUCAUUGAUAAAGAUGUUAAAGAGCACCAGUCCCAAGACAGACCCCUGGGGGACUCCGCUCGUUACCGGCCUCCACCUGGACUUAGAACCAUUAAUCACCACCCUCUGUCUGUGGCCUUUCAACCAAUUUCUUAUCCAACGAGUGGUCCACCCAUCAAAUCCACAUCCCUCCAAUUUGGAGAUAAGGAUGUGGACCAUGUCAAAGGCUUUGGUCAAGUCCAGGUAAAUGACAUCCGUCACCUUCCCCUCAUCCACCAACACUAUCACUCCAUCAUAGAAGGCCACAAGAUUGGUUAAGUAUGAC
ensembl:lncRNA